rnacentral:lncRNA from 1 species
CUGGCAGCGUAGUACUGUACUAGACAGAGAGUGGACUGGCAGGGAAGUACUGUACUGGACAGAGAGUGGACUGGCAGGGUAGUACUGUACUGGACAGAGAGUGGACUGGCAGGGUAGUACUGUACUGGUGGACUGGCAGGGAAGUACUGUACUGGACAGAGAGUGGACUGGCAGGGAAGUACUGUACUGGUGGACUGGCAGGGAAGUACUGUACUGGACAGAGAGUGGACUGGCAGGGAAGUACUGUACUGGACAGAGAGUGGACUGGCAGGGUAGUACUGUACUGGACAGAGAGUGGACUGCCAGGGAAGUACUGUACUGGACAGAGAGUGGACUGGCAGGGUAGUACUGUACU